UUAAGCGACUAAGCGUACACGGUGGAUGCCCUGGCAGUCAGAGGCGAUGAAGGACGUGCUAAUCUGCGAAAAGCGCCGGCGAGGUGAUAUGAACCCUUGACCCGGCGAUGUCCGAAUGGGGAAACCCAGUGCAAUCCGUUGCACUAUCGUUAACUGAAUACAUAGGUUAACGAGGCGAACCGGGGGAACUGAAACAUCUAAGUACCCCGAGGAAAAGAAAUCAACCGAGAUUCCCCCAGUAGCGGCGAGCGAACGGGGAGCAGCCCGGAGUCUGAAUCAGCUUGUGUGUUAGUGGAACGGUCUGGAAAGUCCGACGGUACAGGGUGAUAGUCCCGUACACGAAAGCACACUUGCUGUGAACUCGAAGAGUAGGGCGGGACACGUGGUAUCCUGUCUGAAUAUGGGGGGACCAUCCUCCAAGGCUAAAUACUCCUGACUGACCGAUAGUGAACCAGUACCGUGAGGGAAAGGCGAAAAGAACCCCGGCGAGGGGAGUGAAAAAGAACCUGAAACCGUGUACGUACAAGCAGUGGGAGCCUCUUUAUGGGGUGACUGCGUACCUUUUGUAUAAUGGGUCAGCGACUUAUAUUCUGUAGCAAGGUUAACCGUAUAGGGGAGCCGAAGGGAAACCGAGUCUUAACUGGGCGUUAAGUUGCAGGGUAUAGACCCGAAACCCGGUGAUCUAGCCAUGGGCAGGUUGAAGGUUGGGUAACACUAACUGGAGGACCGAACCGACUAAUGUUGAAAAAUUAGCGGAUGACCUGUGGCUGGGGGUGAAAGGCCAAUCAAACCGGGAGAUAGCUGGUUCUCCCCGAAAGCUAUUUAGGUAGCGCCUCGUGAACUCAUCUUCGGGGGUAGAGCACUGUUUCGGCUAGGGGGCCAUCCCGGCUUACCAACCCGAUGCAAACUACGAAUACCGAAGAAUGUUAUCACGGGAGACACACGGCGGGUGCUAACGUCCGUCGUGAAGAGGGAAACAACCCAGACCGCCAGCUAAGGUCCCAAAGUCAUGGUUAAGUGGGAAACGAUGUGGGAAGGCACAGACAGCCAGGAUGUUGGCUUAGAAGCAGCCAUCAUUUAAAGAAAGCGUAAUAGCUCACUGGUCGAGUCGGCCUGCGCGGAAGAUGUAACGGGGCUAAACCAUGCACCGAAGCUGCGGCAGCGACGCUUAUGCGUUGUUGGGUAGGGGAGCGUUCUGUAAGCCGUUGAAGGUGUCCUGUGAGGGGUGCUGGAGGUAUCAGAAGUGCGAAUGCUGACAUAAGUAACGAUAAAGCGGGUGAAAAGCCCGCUCGCCGGAAGACCAAGGGUUCCUGUCCAACGUUAAUCGGGGCAGGGUGAGUCGACCCCUAAGGCGAGGCCGAAAGGCGUAGUCGAUGGGAAACAGGUUAAUAUUCCUGUACUUGGUGUUACUGCGAAGGGGGGACGGAGAAGGCUAUGUCAGCCGGGCGACGGUUGUCCCGGUUUAAGCAUGUAGGCGGAGGUUCCAGGUAAAUCCGGUACCUUAUUAACGCUGAGGUGUGAUGACGAGGCACUACGGUGCUGAAGUGAUAAAUGCCCUGCUUCCAGGAAAAGCCUCUAAGCAUCAGGUAACACGAAAUCGUACCCCAAACCGACACAGGUGGUCAGGUAGAGAAUACCAAGGCGCUUGAGAGAACUCGGGUGAAGGAACUAGGCAAAAUGGUGCCGUAACUUCGGGAGAAGGCACGCUGAUAUGUAGGUGAAGUCCCUGCGGACGGAGCUGAAAUCAGUCGAAGAUACCAGCUGGCUGCAACUGUUUAUUAAAAACACAGCACUGUGCAAACACGAAAGUGGACGUAUACGGUGUGACGCCUGCCCGGUGCCGGAAGGUUAAUUGAUGGGGUUAGCGGCAACGCGAAGCUCUUGAUCGAAGCCCCGGUAAACGGCGGCCGUAACUAUAACGGUCCUAAGGUAGCGAAAUUCCUUGUCGGGUAAGUUCCGACCUGCACGAAUGGCGUAAUGAUGGCCAGGCUGUCUCCACCCGAGACUCAGUGAAAUUGAACUCGCUGUGAAGAUGCAGUGUACCCGCGGCAAGACGGAAAGACCCCGUGAACCUUUACUAUAGCUUGACACUGAACACUGGUCCUUGAUGUGUAGGAUAGGUGGGAGGCUUUGAAGCGUGGACGCCAGUCUGCGUGGAGCCAACCUUGAAAUACCACCCUUUAAUGGCUGGUGUUCUAACGUAGACCCGUAAUCCGGGUUGCGGACAGUGUCUGGUGGGUAGUUUGACUGGGGCGGUCUCCUCCCAAAGAGUAACGGAGGAGCACGAAGGUUGGCUAAUCCUGGUCGGACAUCAGGAGGUUAGUGCAAUGGCAUAAGCCAGCUUGACUGCGAGCGUGACGGCGCGAGCAGGUGCGAAAGCAGGUCAUAGUGAUCCGGUGGUUCUGAAUGGAAGGGCCAUCGCUCAACGGAUAAAAGGUACUCCGGGGAUAACAGGCUGAUACCGCCCAAGAGUUCAUAUCGACGGCGGUGUUUGGCACCUCGAUGUCGGCUCAUCACAUCCUGGGGCUGAAGUAGGUCCCAAGGGUAUGGCUGUUCGCCAUUUAAAGUGGUACGCGAGCUGGGUUUAGAACGUCGUGAGACAGUUCGGUCCCUAUCUGCCGUGGGCGCUGGAGAAUUGAGGGGGGCUGCUCCUAGUACGAGAGGACCGGAGUGGACGCAUCACUGGUGUUCGGGUUGUCAUGCCAAUGGCACUGCCCGGUAGCUAAAUGCGGAAGAGAUAAGUGCUGAAAGCAUCUAAGCACGAAACUUGCCCCGAGAUGAGUUCUCCCUGAGACUUUAAGUCUCCUGAAGGAACGUUGAAGACGACGACGUUGAUAGGUCGGGUGUGUAAGCGCAGCGAUGCGUUGAGCUAACCGAUACUAAUGAACCGUGAGGCUUAACCU
rnacentral:rRNA from 1 species